GUGUUUGUAUUUCCUUUCAGAGUGAAGAUAUCCUCAAAUGUCUAGUGAUCCUUAACUGUCUGUUCACCUUUAAGACUACAGCACUAAAAAUCUGAUUGGAAGUUCUGAUAUAUGAGUUGGGUUGCCAACUCUGGGUCUUACCCCAGUCCUACAUUCACUGCCACUUCCAGAAAUAUCUGGUAUCACCAAUUCAUGAGCCCACUGGAGGUUUUGAGGUGCAAGUCUGGAUGAUGUAUUGGCUUUUCCUGCCAGAAUAGAAACUCCACAAAAACAGUGAUCUUGGUUUUGUUCAUUGAUGAAAUCCAAGGACUUAGAAGAGUGCCUGG
rnacentral:lncRNA from 1 species